GGGGCAGCGGGGGAGAGGACAGGGACUAGCCUCCUGGGCCAGGAGCUCAAGGGCUGGGCAGGAGGGUCCUGCGGGCCGGAUGUGGCCCGCAGGCCGUAGUUUGCCCACCUCUGCUGUAGGCCCAUCUAUGGGGCAGAUUUUCAGUCACCACAGAUCUGAAUUGUAAAAGUUCCUGAAAUAUAGACUUACAAAGGAAAAAAGUUACAUGUCAGGAAGUAAAUGCCACACUCAUUUCACGCUCACAGGAGCAAAUUUACAGGGAUACCAGAGCACAUGAAGCUGCACCUGGCUGGAAGAGGGGUGAGAUGGGGGACUUCAGUAGGGAAAAAAUCUUAGGUUCCAAAGUCUUGAAGUGCCUUCUGUCUGGAGCUCUGCUGAAAGUUCUGAGAAAUCUUUGAAGCUGGGGCCAUGGGGAUGAAAAGGAAGACUAAAGCUGCAUAUUAUAUCUCAGCCCUUUGGAGACAGGUGUUCCCAGAGAGCCUCAUCCCAGUAACUGAUCCAGCCCAAAACCUGCUCAGCUCUAUGCGACAGGAUCAUUGCACAAGGUGACAUGACUGUGAGCACUAACAAGCCGUUACACUUUACUGGGUCACAUUUCAUAUACCAUAUAACUUUUAUGGGAAGAUUUAGGUUUUAAAAGGAGCAUUUAAAAUUCAGUCUACAUGAAUCCCAACCACUCAAGCAGAUGUGUUUGAAAUACAAGUCGUCCAAGUGCCCACCUCUCACACUCCCAGCUAAGCUAGCCCAUCACUUUCCUGGGAACACACCUUCUUGGCGACUGAUCCUUCCCCCAGAACACAGUUUCUCUCUGGGCAUUCACAAGUGAUUUUUGCAGGUUCCACUUUGGCAGGAAAUACGUAGAGGCAUCUUUCCCCGAGUUGCCUCUGUGCAUGGUCGAAGCACCCCAGACGCUUUACUCUGUUAAGAGUGAGAAGAUGAAAACCGUCACCUCCCCAGUCAGCCUCAGAGCAAGAGAUAAUGAACACCCUAGCGAUGAGUAGUACCUCCACAUAGUUAGCGGGUGCAUAUGCUGAUGCACACCAGUCCUGUACAUAUGCUGAUGUAUGUGAGAUCCAUGUGGGUGGCACUAAUUAAAAUGGGACCAAUUUUGCAUUACAACUAACAUUUCCCAGGAGACUAGAAUUCUUUAGGUUAGUCUCUCUCAUACACACACAGAGAUGUAAGGGAAGAGCUAUAGAGUAUUUCCAGGCCACCUGGGAACUGGGAGGAGAAGAGUAGCCAUCUCCUCCACAUACAAGGCCUAGUUACUCUUGUCAACCUCCCAGAGAGAAUUAAAAAUUUUGCUUUUUCUUUCCAUAGGCUGAGAACUCCUGCUCCUGAAGCUACCUUCAGAUGGGAUUGCACUGCUCUGUUCUCCUACAGAGUUCCAAAACUCACCUACCCUCUUUCCUCACUUCAACAGAGCACCUUAUGGCUAACAUGCAUACCCUGUGGCCUGCAAGGGGCAUCAGAUGCUCCGCAACACUGGCACUGCUCCUUGGCUGGCCAAGCAAUGUUAGCUGCCUUCCCCUCCCACUUCUGAAAUAGAGCUUGGAGCUGUAGGAUUCAAAGGUUCAGUCCACUGCAGCUAAAUGAGGGACAGAAGGGGAAGAGGAAUUUGGAUGCUUUCUCCCUGCUGUUCAGCUGGGGAGCAUUUCUAUUGGAGGAGAGCUUGUGACGCCAGCCCUUCUACCAUUAAACUUAAAACCUCCACUGGCCAGUCAGAUGAUGCUCCCUGAGGCUGGGAGACAGGAAAUGGCUGGAGUAAAGCUCCCUACGUAGGGUGCUGAUGACAAAGUUGGAUUUCUUAUGUUUAUUUGCUGGAAGAAGGGCAUGUUAUCCACUGACUGCCCUGGCAUCUUAGGAUGGUGGGGAACAUGGGUACUUUAAGCAGAUCUCACCUGGACAAGUUCUCCUGCGUGAUUACCGAAGGUGGGGGACUUACACUGUCAGUACCUCCAGGACAGAAACUUUUAGUGAUCCAAGUAACCUUUAGUUCCACCACUUGUACCUGAAAAAUGAAGAAGAGGAACAGGAAGAAGAACAUCACUUUUUCUGGGAACUUUACUGAAUCAGAUUCCAAAGCUUAUGGAUUCUCAACAUGGAAAAUGGUUUUCACUUCUAGAUGGCUGGACCUAGCCCCUGGAUUUUUAAGAAAAACAGCCGUGGUCGGCUUCUAAUUGUGCUUCCGCACUGGUUAAGAGUUAAUUGCAUUCAUCAUGCUUCUAUAGUGCUCAAAUACAACAACUGUCUCAGGGGGUUCCAGUUCUUUCAGGAAGAUUGUCCCUGUUCCCAUAGUAAGUAGCCAUGUGUCUGCUCACUAACCUCUUCCACCACCACUCUGAACUUGCUCUUUGUGCUCAAGACAGGCUUCACACCUGAAAGCCACUGCACACUGGAGAAGACUUUUGAGGGACCAAUGAGGACUUGCCCAGGAUAAAAGCCGUAUGAGUCAUCAAAGAAAAGGCCCUGAAAGAAAACGGCAGCAUAAGGGUACUGUGUGUCAGAGAGCAGCUAAUGCCUGAAAACAUUCUGUUGUGAUGACAUGGGAUUUCUGCAUUUCUCUUCCCUCGUUCUUGAUCACUAAGGAUAUCUUUAAGCGAAGAGACCUGUUUGCAAGUUCCCUUGCUUCUAUGCAUCAUUCCUUUGCUGAAGUCAUCACAUCAGUUUCUAUAGCAACACACUGAAUAUCACACAUUCACAAACAAUGGAUUUCAAUUUAGUGGGGAAGAGGCAGAGGUAAUCGCAAAGAACAAUUAUCUUGAUUUCAUGCAAAUGUUUUUAGUAACAAAUAGUGUGGUCUAAGCACUGGGGUGGACAACAGGAACCCCUGAUUUCUUAUACCUGCUCUCACAAGGACAUUAAUGGCUUCUGGCAAGUCACUGAACUUCUCUUCCUCUGCUUCCCCAGUUGCAAAAUGGGAGUAAUAUUGCACAUGUACCUGAAGGCCCUGUUAGGCAGAUUUACCUAAUACUCAUAGAUUUUUGUAAAUAAAGCUCUAGGAACUAACCAUUUACCUUCUGGGCAACCUUUGUUCAUGACAAUUGGGGUGACACCGAGCUGGGGAUGCGGCAUGGCUCAGGGGUUUUAGAUAGCAAUCUGAUUCAUGUGUUCAAAUUUUUGUACUGAUCAUCAUUUAAAAUCUUGCAAUUUGUCAAGGGUACAUAAGAUUAGUGCUGUAGGAUAUAAAUCAUAAGUGCCAAGAAUACAUAUAGGAGUACUGAGCACUAACUUAACGGUAAUGAGAAAGAACAAAAGGAGAGACGUUUUCAAAAGCGACUUGUGAUUGAAUGCCUCAGCUGGACACACCUUGAACUUCAGAGGCCUAAUUCUACGAAAGUACAAAAAGCCACGCUCUGGAAAUCCUGCCCCUUUAAAGGGCAUCUCAAGUCAGGCACCCAAAAUCACCAGUCACCUCUGAAAAAUGUAGGCCACGAUACAGUAAAGAGGCUGAACUUGUUCUGCAUUGAGAAGCAAUUUACACUUUGGGAUCAGAUGUUAGAGAUACUGGACAGCAAUUAGAUUGAGACUCUCCUCAAUCCAUGGACAAUGAAAUCCUGCAGGAAAAGACACCACAUUAAACUGACAUCACUUGAUCGUCAGCAGAGACAUCACAUUCUUUAAGGAAUCUGGUGGCAGAGCACUAGGAUUUUGCCUAACUCUAGGAUGCUGGCAGAAUUUCCAUAGGAUGAGGCCCACUGUAUCAACAAAAUAAAGAGCCUUUACACUGUAGGCAAUUCCUACAGCCAUACCCAUCAAUAAAGAAACUUUAGAAUAGUAUUGAAUGACAGGAUCUAAGAGGAAAAGCCAAUUACUGCACAGCUUCUGAAGGUUUAAAUCUAUCACACAGUGGAUUUUGUGUUCUCAGCCUGGUUAUUAGUAGACAACUCUCCAGAGUGCACAGUCUGGGACAAUUCAGCAAGAAUAGCAGUGUCCACUAAAAUAGCAAAAGCUGAUGCAGGUCAGGAUUAGAGAGGCAUACCAUCAAUUUUAUUAUUAAAAAUUAAUUUUGAAACAUUCUGAUUUCUGACAGAGCACCCUUAAAAUGGCAUGCUUUUUUGUUAUUCCAUCAAACAUUUUUAGAAGGGUUCUUCCAUCCUCUGUUGAUGUUCAUUAGUGUCUUUUCAAGCAGGGUGACUAUAACGAGGAUCAGUGAAACCAACUGUACUUUGUGUAAGACACUUGAAAAGGUAUUGUCCACUAGCUUCUUUCAGUUAGUGAUCUCGCAUGCUAUUUUUUUUUUUUUUUACACUCCAUGCAUCUGAAGAAGUGGGUUUUUUAUCCACAAAAACUUAUGCCCAAAUAAAUCUGUUAGUCUUUAAAGUGC